GUACUGAGACACGGACCAGACUCCUACGGGAGGCAGCAGUGAGGAAUAUUGGACAAUGGGAGCAAUCCUGAUCCAGCCAUGCCGCGUGCAGGAAGACUGCCCUAUGGGUUGUAAACUGCUUUUAUACAGGAAGAAAAAGGUGUACGUGUACAUUGUUGACGGUACUGUAAGAAUAAGGAUCGGCUAACUCCGUGCCAGCAGCCGCGGUAAUACGGAGGAUCCAAGCGUUAUCCGGAAUCAUUGGGUUUAAAGGGUCCGUAGGCGGGAUAAUAAGUCAGUGGUGAAAGUCUGCAGCUCAACUGUAGAAUUGCCAUUGAUACUGUUGUUCUUGAGUUAUUGUGAAGUGGUUAGAAUGAGUAGUGUAGCGGUGAAAUGCAUAGAUAUUACUCAGAAUACCGAUUGCGAAGGCAGAUCACUAACAAUACACUGACGCUGAUGGACGAAAGCGUAGGUAGCGAACAGGAUUAGAUACCCUGGUAGUCUACGCCGUAAACGAUGGUUACUAGCUGUUCGGGUUAAUUGAGACCUGAGUGGCUAAGCGAAAGUGAUAAGUAACCCACCUGGGGAGUACGUUCGCAAGAAUGAAACUCAAAGGAAUUGACGG
rnacentral:rRNA from 1 species